GAUGAACGCUGGCGGCGUGCCUAAUACAUGCAAGUCGAGCGAACAGACGAGGAGCUUGCUCCUCUGACGUUAGCGGCGGACGGGUGAGUAACACGUGGAUAACCUACCUAUAAGACUGGGAUAACUUCGGGAAACCGGAGCUAAUACCGGAUAAUAUAUUGAACCGCAUGGUUCAAUAGUGAAAGACGGUUUUGCUGUCACUUAUAGAUGGAUCCGCGCCGCAUUAGCUAGUUGGCAAGGUAACGGCUUACCAAGGCGACGAUGCGUAGCCGACCUGAGAGGGUAAUCGGCCACACUGAACUGAGACACGGUCCAGACUCCUACGGGAGGCAGCAGUAGGGAAUCUUCCGCAAUGGGCGAAAGCCUGACGGAGCAACGCCGCGUGAGUGAUGAAGGUCUUCGGAUCGUAAAACUCUGUUAUUAGGGAAGAACAAAUGUGUAAGUAACUAUGCACGUCUUGACGGUACCUAAUCAGAAAGCCACGGCUAACUACGUG
rnacentral:rRNA from 1 species